rnacentral:rRNA from 1 species
UACGAAGGGGACUAGCGUUGUUCGGAAUUACUGGGCGUAAAGCGCACGUAGGCGGAUUUGUAAGUCAGGGGUGAAAUCCCGGGGCUCAACCUCGGGACUGCCUUUGAUACUGCAAAUCUCGAGUCCGAUAGAGGUGGGUGGAAUUCCUAGUGUAGAGGUGAAAUUCGUAGAUAUUAGGAAGAACACCAGUGGCGAAGGCGGCUCACUGGACUGGUAUUGACGCUGAGGUGCGAAAGCGUGGGGAGCAAACAGG